UACGAAGGGGGCUAGCGUUGUUCGGAAUCACUGGGCGUAAAGCGCGCGUAGGCGGACCUGCAAGUCGGGGGUGAAAGCCCGAGGCUCAACCUCGGAACUGCCUUCGAUACUGCGGGUCUCGAGUCCGGGAGAGGUGAGUGGAAUUCCUAGUGUAGAGGUGAAAUUCGUAGAUAUUGGGAAGAACACCAGUGGCGAAGGCGGCUAACUGGUCCAGAUCUGACGCUGAGGUGCGAAAGCGUGGGGAGCAAACAGG
rnacentral:rRNA from 1 species